rnacentral:rRNA from 1 species
CAGCAGCCGCGGGAAUACAGAGGGUGCGAGCGUUAAUCGGAUUUACUGGGCGUAAAGCGUGCGUAGGCUGCUUCUUAAGUCGGAUGUGAAAUCCCUGAGCUUAACUUAGGAAUUGCAUUCGAUACUGGGAAGCUAGAGUAUGGGAGAGGAUGGUAGAAUUCCAGGUGUAGCGGUGAAAUGCGUAGAGAUCUGGAGGAAUACCGAUGUCGAAGGCAGCCAUCUGGCCUAAUACUGACGCUGAGGUACGAAAGCAUGGGGAGCAAACAGGAUUAGAUACCCCUGUAGUCCCUGUCUCUUAUAC